CUAUUAGAGGGGUUUAACCCCCCCCCCCCCAAGUAAAACCAUUUCUAACAUUGGGAGUAGUGAUGUCCAAUUGGCCAUGACACAGCUGUGAGAAAUUAUGAUGAUGACAUAUUUUAGUUAGGAAUGUAAUUGCAUUGCUGAAUACUGAAACAUGACAUUUAAUUUUGAAGCUCAGAUCAAUGGUCUUGGUAAAAACAGAUCAUGUAAUUGCACCCUUGACUAGUAAAAUUGUCUGGCGUUAGGUACAUUAAAAUAAUACAGUAAGGCAUAUCAAGACACAUUGCCACUUGUGAAGGGUUAACAUAUGUGUAUAUGAUAUUUUUGUGAUGU
rnacentral:lncRNA from 1 species